UCAUGACACGAAUGGGAACUAAGCAGCAUCGCAGAGCAAAGUCUAUGUUAUAAAACCAGAACAUAUUUUUGAAAAUAGUUUAUUAGUGCAGUAUUACUUAUGCAGGCCUUUGAACAUCCUGUAAGUGCCUUCCGGGUUUUUAAUUAUCGAUCUUUGAAGGAGGACACUAAAACAAGUUUUAGUUGGAAGAAUACUUUUUCAAAAGCUCCCUGACAGCAUAUUAAGCCUUUAUUUGACUUGGGAAUUGGACAAUGAACAACAUUUGGCACAAUCUCACAACAAUGUGAAGAAAACCCAUUUGCUUUCAAUACAGAGGUGUAUUAUGAAAAUCGGUACUUUCCCCGGAGGAGGUGUACUCCAUUUAACAUCCCAGACAUAAUUCAGAACAACCAUAUGGAGUCAACCAUGCUUGAAAACAGCACAGUGGUCCCAUUUCAGACUGGGGUGGCUGCUGUGAAUAUACCUCCUCAUCUAGGCUUCAUCGCAAUAGGACCAUCUCCAGACUGUGUCCAGGCAGCUCUACCACAUACCGAAGGCUCUUCCUCACAGCAUUCACCUCAACACCAGCUACUUUGAUGAUGGUGUUGCCCAUCUUCCCCGUGUAUUUAUACCUGUGUUCUCUGUCUGUCUGUUGCCAGUUCGUCUUGUUUGUCAAGCCUGCCAGCGUUUUUCGUCUCAUCUACUGCUUCUCAGUCUCUUUUUCUCGCCCUCCUAGUUUUGACCCUUGCCUGUCCCAUCUCUGAGCCUGCCUGCCUGACCACUCUGCCU